rnacentral:tRNA from 1 species
GCCGGCAUAGCUCAGCUGGUAGAGCAACGGUUUUGUAAACCGAAGGUCGGGGGUUCGAGUCCCUCUGCCGGCACCA